rnacentral:rRNA from 1 species
GAUGAACGCUGGCGGCGUGCCUAAUACAUGCAAGUCGAGCGAAUGGAUUAAGAGCUUGCUCUUAUGAAGUUAGCGGCGGACGGGUGAGUAACACGUGGGUAACCUGCCCAUAAGACUGGGAUAACUCCGGGAAACCGGGGCUAAUACCGGAUAACAUUUUGAACCGCAUGGUUCGAAAUUGAAAGGCGGCUUCGGCUGUCACUUAUGGAUGGACCCGCGGCGCAUUAGCUAGUUGGUGAGGUAACGGCUCACCAAGGCAACGAUGCGUAGCCGACCUGGGGGGAUGACCGGCCAAAAUGGAACUGGGACACGGCCCAGACUCCUACGGGAGGCAGCAGUAGGGAAUCUUCCGCAAUGGACGAAAGUCUGACGGAGCAACGCCGCGUGAGUGAUGAAGGCUUUCGGGUCGUAAAACUCUGUUGUUAGGGAAGAACAAGUGCUAGUUGAAUAAGCUGACACCUUGACGGUACCUAACCAGAAAGCCACGGCUAACUACGUGCCAGCAGCCGCCGUAAUAC